rnacentral:lncRNA from 1 species
AUGAAUCCCUGCAGGAUCGUGCAAAAGCACUCAUUUUCCUCCGUCACCAUCUUCACGAUGGAUUAAAAAUUGAAUAUCUCACUGAGAAAGAUCCACAAGUUCUUUGGAAAAAGUUAACUGAAAGAUUUGAUCAUCAGAGGACUAUAGUCCUCCCCAAAGCCCGUUAUGAGUGGAUGCACCUUCGUUUGCAAGACUUUAAAACGGUUAGUGAGUACAAUUCUGAAUUGUUCAGAAUAUGUUCAAAGUUGACUUUGUGUGGAGAAAAAAUCACCGAUGAAGAUAUGCUGGAAAAAACUUUCUCCACCUUUCAUGCCUCGAAUGUGCUCCUGCAGCAGCAAUAUCGUGAGCGUGGCUUCAAAAAGUACUCAGAACUUAUAUCUUGCCUACUAGUUGCUGAACAAAAUAAUGAAUUGUUGAUGAAAAAUCAUGGAUUACGUCCAACUGGUUCUGUACCAUUGCCUGAAGCAAAUGGUACUACAUUGUCUGAAACAAAUACAAUAUCAAGACAAGGACGUGGAC